CCUUCUUCUAAUCAUGUUGAAACAUCAGACCAAUUCAAACUAAGGGACCUUCCACAAAAUGAAUUGCCCAUGUUCUUCAAAAAAUGUCAAGGUCAAGAAAUACAAAGAAAAGCUGAGGAACUGAACUGUUCCAGAUGAAAAGAAA